AGGCCUACUGUCAGGACUAUGGAUCAAACUGCGUCUGUUAUAAACCUUAUAGCUGGGGACGAGGAGACUUCGCUUGUUAUCGUGACAACGAGAUCUCAGCUGAGGUGAAGAAUGACCCUGAACUGACCACCUUUAACAACGACACCGUCAAGUUCCAAUACCCAUGUCGGUACCUGCUGACCGAGCUAGAACUUCAGCUUCAGAAUGCCCACGGUAAAGAGAUUGGACAGUGUUUCUUUAAGGUCCACGCUUUCCACAAGAGAAUUAACGGAAAGAUCGUUGUUGACGGCCUUGAGAUUGCUGCCAAAUUUCUGGUGGGCUACGAUCAUGAGAAGUCUCUGUCCAUCAUCACGUAUGGCCAGGAGGGACACGUAA
rnacentral:sRNA from 1 species